AGCGAACGCUGGCGGCAUGCCUAACACAUGCAAGUCGAACGAGACCUUCGGGUCUAGUGGCGCACGGGUGCGUAACGCGUGGGAACCUGCCCUUAGGUUCGGAAUAACUCCCCGAAAGGGGUGCUAAUACCGGAUAAUGUCUUCGGACCAAAGAUUUAUCGCCUUUGGAUGGGCCCGCGUUGGAUUAGCUAGUUGGUAGGGUAAAAGCCUACCAAGGCGACGAUCCAUAGCUGGUCUGAGAGGAUGAUCAGCCACACUGGGACUGAGACACGGCCCAGACUCCUACGGGAGGCAGCAGUAGGGAAUAUUGGACAAUGGGCGAAAGCCUGAUCCAGCAAUGCCGCGUGAGUGAUGAAGGCCUUAGGGUUGUAAAGCUCUUUUACCCGGGAUGAUAAUGACAGUACCGGGAGAAUAAGCGCCGGCUAACUCCGUG
rnacentral:rRNA from 1 species